rnacentral:rRNA from 1 species
GAUGAACGCUGGCGGCGUGCCUAAUACAUGCAAGUCGAGCGAACAGACGAGGAGCUUGCUCCUCUGACGUUAGCGGCGGACGGGUGAGUAACACGUGGAUAACCUACCUAUAAGACUGGGAUAACUUCGGGAAACCGGAGCUAAUACCGGAUAACAUGUUGAACCGCAUGGUUUAACAGUGAAAGACGGUCUUGCUGUCACUUAUAGAUGGAUCCGCCCCGCAUUAGCUAGUUGGUAAGGUAACGGCUUACCAAGGCAACGAUGCGUAGCCGACCUGAGAGGGUGAUCGGCCACACUGGAACUGAGACACGGUCCAGACUCCUACGGGAGGCAGCAGUAGGGAAUCUUCCGCAAUGGGCGAAAGCCUGACGGAGCAACGCCGCGUGAGUGAAGAAGGUCUUCGGAUCGUAAAACUCUGUUAUUAGGGAAGAACAAAUGUGUAAGUAACUAUGCACGUCUUGACGGUACCUAAUCAGAAAGCCACGGCUAACUACGUG